rnacentral:lncRNA from 1 species
GCAGGGGCUGCGCGGAGCUCGCCCGUCGACGCGCUAGAAGUAAGUGUCACCCCCGGAGGCGUGCAGGAAAGCGAGCUUGCCGGGCGAGGAAAGACGCAGGCGUUACGGGGUGUCGUACAGAAUGCGGGAGGACCGGGCGCCCCAGCGGCUGUAAGGCGAAGGUGCCCGGUUCGAGGAGGGAGCGCGCGCGCGCGGGCGCGCGCGGCUCGGGGCAGUGAAUUAAAACCGAAACUGAUCUGGAGCGGGAUGGGUUCCAGGGGAAAAGGGUUGACCCGCCUCAUCCUUGAGGAGUAUUUUCCGUCCGCGGCAGUGUCCUCCCCACCCUCACCUUUAUUUCCCAUUUUUCUCUUCUAGUUCCUCUUUGUCCUUGAAGUCCUUUGGUGAAAGAAAACUCAUUCGAACGUUCUGCAUGUGAAUAAAGGCAUAGGGGGUGCUAAAUGGAGUUGCUACGAAUUGAAUUUUAUAAACCGCUACCCGCGCAGUGCCAACGUUGGCGUAUUGGGAGGGGAAAAGUCAGGUGUACCCCCCCCCCCAAAUUAAGCGUGGGGUGGUUAGUGGCUGAUAUUCAGGUGGGGUUUUUCCCCUGCGCUGAAUUUCUUAUAAGGCAGCAUUAACUUAACGAAUAGAUUGUAAUAAACAUAAAGGAAGUAUAUACUUAUUUGCGUAAAAGAGAAAGGUAAAACGGGAAACCAGAAAAAAACAAGACCCCACCAAAAACCAGUAUCCAAAAGUAGCUGACUUGGUUUCCAACAAUUAUCCUUAUUGCUGGGCCUAAUAACGAGAAGGAAUGAAGUGGGGAAGAGGCCCUGAAAUCACAAUUGAUUGAAGAAAAAAUGCUUACAUACCCUCAUUUGUCAAGUCCCCCUGCCAGAUGUUAAGAUUAUUGCUUUUUGUGAGGACCAGUAAAAGCUUAAUACUUUUAUUAAGUAUUGAGCUAUUGGUAACUAAAACAAAACUGCUAGUGACUGAAAUGGGGAAAAAAAUUAAAAACCUAGAGUCUUACGUGCAAUUUCUAACACGUUUGUAACAAAUGCACUGAAGAUACAGGUUAGCAGAGUACACACAAAUAUAUAAAUCCUUUGCAGAAUGUUUUUGAAAACCGGCAGCAAAAAUUAUUACUAAUUUCUUGAUGGUAAUCAUGUGCUGAAACUUUGACAUAUACCGUUUGAUCAAAAGCCGCGAACUGGAGGAAACUACAAGGCAAUGUACAGUUUUCAUUAUUCAUAGAUUCCAUAUUUGCAAAUUUGCCUACUCACUAAAAAUUUGUAACCACCAAAUCAGUGUGCAUAGCAUUCAUGGGCAUGCACACAGUGGCAAACAAUGUAACAUUCCCAGCUGUGUUGAACAAGAUAGCACUCCCUUAUUAAUUCAGCUCUCAUAUUGUAAA